CCCUUAGAUGUUCUGGGCCGCACGCGCGCUACACUGAUGCAUUCAACGAGUUUCUUCCUGGUCCGAGAGGAAUGGGUAACCUUUUGAAUCUGCAUCGUGACGGGGAUAGAUUAUUGCAAUUAUUAAUCUUCAACGAGGAAUGCCUAGUAGGCGCAAGUCAUCAGCUUGCGUCGAUUACGUCCCUGCCCUUUGUACACACCGCCCGUCGCUCCUACCGAUUGGGUGUGCUGGUGAAAUGUUCGGAUCGGCCGUUUGUCGCGGUUUCCGCGUCAUGUGGCUGAGAAGUUCAUUAAACCCUCCCACCUAGAGGAAGGAGAAGUCGUAACA
rnacentral:rRNA from 1 species